rnacentral:rRNA from 1 species
AACGAACGCUGGCGGCAGGCUUAACACAUGCAAGUCGAACGCAUCGCAAGAUGAGUGGCAGACGGGUGAGUAACGCGUGGGAACAUACCCUUUUCUACGGAAUAGCUCUGGGAAACUGGAAUUAAUACCGUAUACGCCCUACGGGGGAAAGAUUUAUCGGGGAAGGAUCGGCCCGCGUUGGAUUAGCUAGUUGGUGGGGUAAAGGCCUACCAAGGCGACGAUCCAUAGCUGGUCUGAGAGGAUGAUCAGCCACAUUGGGACUGAGACACGGCCCAAACUCCUACGGGAGGCAGCAGUGGGGAAUAUUGGACAAUGGGCGCAAGCCUGAUCCAGCCAUGCCGCGUGAGUGAUGGAGGCCUUAGGGUUGUAAAGCUCUUUCACCGAUGAAGAUAAUGACGGUAGUCGGAGAAGAAGCCCCGGCUAACUUCGUGCCAGCCGCCGCCGUAA